AGUCCAUUAAAUGGAAUUCCCAACUUCUAUAUCAAACCCUAAAAUAUAGGUUUUCCAAAUUUGAACUCCUUUUCUUUAUCCCCAUAUCGUUGCUUGUUGUUGUAUGAAAUUCAAUCUUCUUAACUUGAAGAGAGACAUAAUUUGGUGGAACAAUGGAUCCAAGAAGUGGUUUCGAUAGAGGCGCCUAGUCGUGUGGUUGAUCUCGCAACUCUAUGACACUUUGUUUUCUAUGUGGGGAUCCUCCAAUUCUGAAAAUUUUAUGGAUAAAUGACAAUCCCGAACGUAGAUUUAUCAGUUGUAAUAUGGGUCCUCAUUUUGAAAUCCUUGUAAUUUUUUUGAUUGGUAUGAUCCUGAAUUUCCUAGCCAAGCAAAUAUUGUGAUAUUGGGUUUUUUGAAGAAGACCAACAAACAAGAAGAACAAUUGAAAUGUAGAUGGAUGUUGAAACUGAUUUUAGGCAUUUGUCUUGCUUCAGGUGGUUCAACCAUUGGGUUUCUGCUUUCAAGCCACAUUUCAUGUUUGGGACUGAUUGAAUGAAAUGAGAAUAUGUCUUCAGAUAUGUAUCUUUUCUAUACCACCUUGAAAUUGCUUGUGAUGCAUCCAUGUACAAGUGGUUCAUUGCUGCUAUACCAUGUGCACAUGGGAUGUCUUUUUAUUCCAAGAUCUGCAGCUACAUUUUUGUUGACCCAAGUUAACAGUAUGCUUGUAUACCCCUUCAAUACUUUAAAUCCAACAUCACCAUUCCAUUCAAUGUUGCACUGCAUUGAUCUUAUUACAUUGAUAUUGAAUACCAUUAUUGUCA